CAUAGCCUUUAGCUUAACAAGUAUUAAAGGUAAUGCCUGCCCAGUGAAACUUUUUAACGGCCGCGGUACCCUAACCGUGCAAAGGUAGCGUAAUCAUUUGUCCACUAAUUAUGGACCAGUAUGAAAGGCCACAUGAGAAUCUAACUGUCUCUUGUAACCGAUUUAUAAAACUGAUCUCCCAGUUCAAAAGCUGGGAUUAAACCAUAAGACGAGAAGACCCUGUGAAGCUUUAAAAAUCCUAUUAAACCAAUUAACGGGUAUUUUUAGUUGGGGCAACUUUGGAAAACAAUCUAACCUCCAAGACAAACACUUCACAAAGACCUACAAGUCAACCACGACCCAGUAAAACUGAGAAAUGAACUAAGUUACUCCAGGGAUAACAGCGCAAUCUUCUUCAAGAGCCCAUAUCAAAAAGAAGGUUUACGACCUCGAUGUUGGAUCAGGACACCCAAAUGGCGCAGCCGCUAUUAAAGGUUCGUUUGUUCAACGAUUAAUAG
rnacentral:rRNA from 1 species